UGCCCUAGUAACGGCGAGUGAAGCGGCAACAGCUCAAAUUUGAAAUCUGGCCCUCGUGGUCCGAGUUGUAAUUUGUAGAGGAUGCUUUUGGUUAGGUGCCUUCCGAGUUCCCUGGAACGGGACGCCAUAGAGGGUGAGAGCCCCGUCUGGUUGGACACCGAGCCUCUGUAAAGCUCCUUCGACGAGUCGAGUAGUUUGGGAAUGCUGCUCUAAAUGGGAGGUAUAUGUCUUCUAAAGCUAAAUAUUGGCCAGAGACCGAUAGCGCACAAGUAGAGUGAUCGAAAGAUGAAAAGCACUUUGAAAAGAGGGUUAAAAAGUACGUGAAAUUGUUGAAAGGGAAGCGCUUGUGACCAGACUUGGGCCCGGUCAAUCAUCCAGGGUUCUCCCUGGUGCACUUGGCCGGCCCAGGCCAGCAUCAGUUUGUCGCGGGGGAUAAAGACGUUGGGAAUGUGGCUCCUCCGGGAGUGUUAUAGCCCUUCGUGUAAUACCCUGCUUCGGACUGAGGUUCGCGCAUCUGCAAGGAUGCUGGCGUAAUGGUCAUCAGCGACCCGUCUUGAAACACGGACCAAGGAGUCGUCUUCGUAUGCGAGUGUUCGGGUGUCAAACCCCUACGCGUAAUGAAAGUGAACGCAGGUGAGAGCUUCGGCGCAUCAUCGACCGAUCCUGAUGUUCUCGGAUGGAUUUGAGUAAGAGCAUACGGGGCCGGACCCGAAAGAAGGUGAACUAUGCCUGUAUAGGGUGAAGCCAGAGGAAACUCUGGUGGAGGCUCGCAGCGGUUCUGACGUGCAAAUCGAUCGUCAAAUAUGGGCAUGGGGGCGAAAGAC
rnacentral:rRNA from 1 species